CACGAUCACACGGACUCUAUACUACAGAGCAGCAGUACCUACCACACAUUUUACAACAUAUUUGUCAGUGGUGCAGUAUCUGCUAAUCAUUUCCCAUUGUCCUAUCAGUCAUCUCUCCUUACUCGGUGUAUGUGAUCCGUGACAUAGGACCUAGCAAAAUGAGCUUCAGGGUAAUUCCUCCUGCUACUCCCCGUUAGAGAAGGGCACUCCAGUGGGGGCUGGGACCACUUUGCCAGCACGGAAGGGAUGUUUGAGCCUUUGCCCAGUUCUUCUGGACAAUGGCCAGGGGCCUUGAGUAUCACAACGUGGCCCUUAUUGGACAUCGUCAACCACUGUCUGGAUGACACUGUACUCCAGUGGGAGAUAGAACUGCUGAGGAGUUUGGUUUUCUAGGGCUUCUCCAGAUACCUACAUUUUUGUAAAGAGAGAAGGCUAAAAACAUCACCAGAAUAUGCCUGCAGGGUCCAUCCCCACCAUCCCUCCCUUGUUAAGUCAAGUUCAGGACCCUCCAUGUCAUCAGAGCCUAUUCCUGUUAUAGUCAAGUCAACUUUAUUUAUAUAGCACUUUUAAAAAUACAGAUUGUGUCAAAGCAACUGUACAGCAUUAAUUAGGAAAAUAGUGUGUCAGUAAUGCAAAAUAACAAUAGUAAACAGUCAUUUUUCGGUUAAAGGCAGUUCAUCGUUGAAUUCAAUGUCAUCAUCCAGCUCAGUUCAGUUUAAAUAGUAUUUGUACAAUCAAGUCAGCGAUACUGCUGGAAAUGAAAUGUCCCCAACUAACCAUGCCAGAAGCGACAGAGGCAAGGAACCAAAACUCCAUCAGUGACAGAAUGGAGAAAAAACCUUGGGAGAAACCAGGCUCAGUCAGGGGGCCAGUUCUCCUCUGGCCAGACGAAACCAGCAGUUCAAUUCCAGGCUGCAGCAAAGUCACAUUGUCGGAGGACUCAGCUGGUUCUUGUGGUCUUGUCCCGGUGGCCGUCUGAGACAAGGUCUUUACAGGGUAUCUGGG
ensembl:lncRNA